rnacentral:rRNA from 1 species
AAACUCAAAGGAAUUGACGGGGAUCCGCACAAGCGGUGGAUGAUGUGGUUUAAUUCGAUGCAACGCGAAAAACCUUACCCACCUUUGACAUGUACGGAACCCUUUAGAGAUAGAGGGGUGCUCGAAAGAGAGCCGUAACACAGGUGCUGCAUGGCUGUCGUCAGCUCGUGUCGUGAGAUGUUGGGUUAAGUCCCGCAACGAGCGCAACCCUUGUCAUUAGUUGCUACAUUCAGUUGGGCACUCUAAUGAGACUGCCGGUGACAAGCCGGAGGAAGGUGGGGAUGACGUCAAGUCCUCAUGGCCCUUAUAGGUGGGGCUACACACGUCAUACAAUGGCUGGUACAAAGGGUUGCCAACCCGCGAGGGGGAGCCAAUCCCAUAAAGCCAGUCGUAGUCCGGAUCGUAGUCUGCAACUCGACUACGUGAAGUCGGAAUCGCUAGUAAUCGUGGAUCAGAAUGUCACGGUGAAUACGUUCCCGGGUCUU